rnacentral:rRNA from 1 species
AUUGAACGCUGGCGGCAUGCCUAACACAUGCAAGUCGAACGGCAGCAUGAGCUAGUUGCCCAUCUUGCUUUCGAGUGGCGAAGGGGUGUGAAACGUAUCGAACCUACCUCUGAAACGGGGAUAACUUCGUGAAACGGUAGCUAAUACCGGCUAAUAUCUUGAGCGGGAAGGUUGGAUACUGCAAGGCCGUUUUCCUUACACUUGGCGGUGGAUCCAUGCCUCAUUAGCUAGUUGGUAAGGUAACGACGUACCAAGGCAACGAUGCGUAGCUGAGCUGAGAGGGUGAUCAGCCACACUGGAACUGAGACACGGUCCAGACUCCUACGGGAGGCAGCAGUAGGGAAUUUUGGACAAUGGGCGAAAGCCUGAUCCAGCAAUGCCGCGUGUGUGAAGAAGGCCUUCGGAUUGUAAAGCACUUUUGUCAGGAAAGAAAUGGCUCGGGUUAAUACCUGGGGUUGAUGACGGUACCGGAAGAAUAAGGCCCGGCUAACUACGUG